AUAAAUGUUUUUGUUGUGAUAUAAAUUUAUUAAAUCUUUUGGUUUCUUUUGGUAAAUUAAUAAUUUUAUUUAUCUUUAUAGAUUGUUUUGCGGGAUGCUUGUGGAACGAUGGUCCCCCGCCUUCUCUUCGUUCCUGACAAAAUUUCUAUUACGGCAAUUAUCGCAGUUUGGAGCUAUAGUAUUCGGUUUUCCACACCGAUAGCAAAAAAUCGUCCUCUGAUCGGCCGGGCAGUCCAUAAACAUGUGACCGUUUUGGCGGCAGUUCCAACAAAUAAGUGGUGUUUUCGAAGCUGAAUUAUUAGUGCUUACUAAUCUUAUAGCUGCUACUUCUUCACUAUCCACAUCAAUAUUUUUUUGGAUUUCCUGCGGUUCGUUAUACAUUUCAUUCACGUGCCUAGUAUAACGAUUCAUUACUGGUGGUUGCGGCCUAACUUCUUUCUUCAGAAAAGUUUUUUCAGCAUCUAAACAGCACGUUCUUAAUUCCUCAACAGAUGCUACAGCCAUCGGCUUCUGGCAUUGAAAUGGUUAGGCGAGAUAUGAACUGUGUCAUUGCAAAGAAAAAAGCAUCGAUUGAUUCUCCUGGCAACUGUUUCCUUUCGACCAUAUCUCUCAUUUCGAAACUUGAUCUCAUAGAUCUAUACUGUUUUAACAAUGCGGACUUCAAAGUGGACCAUUCCGACACAUAAUUGGUUUGGAUAAACAACCAAUACCAUUUUUCAGCAGCUCCUUUGACUAAAAGAUGGAAAUUGUCAAGCACUUCUUUCCACGAAACACCAUAUUGACCCUGGAGACGUUCGAGGCGAAAGACAAAAUCUUCUACGGCGAGUCUAUUACUGUCACCAUCAAAUUCCAGUCCCCAUUUAUCAAUACGUGGCCUGCUAUAGCUUCGGGAUUCAUCACUACAUACUGACGAAGCUCUCGAUGAAUAAGACAGUUGUGGUUGCAUGCCAGAGAUAUCCAUUUGUUGUUGUCCUUCAUGUAAUGUUUUGGAUACAUUUGGAGUAUUGGGUUUGCAAAUUUUGUAUAAGACGUGAGGAGAAGAUCGAUUUAGGUCAAACCGUACCUGUCUGUUUCUUUUACGUGAUCUCGUAUUAGGUGGGCUAUUGUUCAUAAUAUACUGGACUGUAACCGUUAAGUGAUUUUUGUACCAGGAUAUUAUGAUUGAAAUUAUAGAUGGAGC